rnacentral:rRNA from 1 species
GACGAACGCUGGCGGCGUGCCUAAUACAUGCAAGUAGAACGCUGAAGGAGGAGCUUGCUUCUCUGGAUGAGUUGCGAACGGGUGAGUAACGCGUAGGUAACCUGCCUGGUAGCGGGGGAUAACUAUUGGAAACGAUAGCUAAUACCGCAUAAUAGUAGAUGUUGCAUGACAUUUGCUUAAAGGUGCAAUUGCAUCACUACCAGAUGGACCUGCGUUGUAUUAGCUAGUUGGUGAGGUAACGGCUCACCAAGGCGACGAUACAUAGCCGACCUGAGAGGGUGAUCGGCCACACUGGGACUGAGACACGGCCCAGACUCCUACGGGAGACAGCAGUAGGGAAUCUUCGGCAAUGGACGGAAGUCUGACCGAGCAACGCCGCGUGAGUGAAGAAGGUUUUCGGAUCGUAAAGCUCUGUUGUAAGAGAAGAACGAGUGUGAGAGUGGAAAGUUCACACUGUGACGGUAUCUUACCAGAAAGGGACGGCUAACUACGUG